rnacentral:rRNA from 1 species
GCGCAGGCGGACCGGCAAGUUGGAAGUGAAAACUAUGGGCUCAACCCAUAAAUUGCUUUCAAAACUGCUGGCCUUGAGUAGUGCAGAGGUAGGUGGAAUUCCCGGUGUAGCGGUGGAAUGCGUAGAUAUCGGGAGGAACACCAGUGGCGAAGGCGACCUACUGGGCACCAACUGACGCUGAGGCUCGAAAGCAUGGGUAAGCAAACA